CUGCACGCCAUCUAUAAAUUGCGCGCCAGGAAUGUAUACAUAUUGACCAACCAAAGAUCAUAGCUAGCGACUUACAUAACUGCUGGUUAAUCAGGCUCGCAAGGAGCAAUGAAGAUUGUUGUGUGCGCCGUUCUCAUGCUUCUUGUCAUCAGCAAUUGCACUGCAGAGAUGCCUCCGGUGAUGGCCGCUGCGCAAAUGGAGCAGCAUGCUGCUGAGCAUGCAGGUCAAACAAAGGCAUUUGCAAAAUGCGAUAAACCUUAUGAUCCUUGCUAUCCUGGACACCAUAGCCCUUGAAAUUGAUUCGCAAACAAACUACACACUUCCGUGCACGUAUGCUAUAUCUUGCUAUCAGCUUAAAUUAUGCCUUAUAUAUGUAUCAUCAGCAUAUAGUAUAGCUGCUCCAUGGGACGAUGCUACGUGUGUACCUUGGGCGUACCUUGUGCUAUAAAUAAGAAUGGAUAUGGACAUAUAUCUCUA